GGAGCUAUGCCUGAAAUAAAGGGCCACUUUGAUAGAGUGAAACAUGAGAGUUAAAGUCCCUCUGGCUCCU
rnacentral:tRNA from 2 species